rnacentral:tRNA from 1 species
GGAGGCGUCGCCUAGUCCGGUCUAUGGCGCCCGCCUGCUAAGCGGGUUGAGAGGUAAUACUCUCUCGCGGGUUCAAAUCCCGCCGCCUCCG